GUGUUACUCCUGCUGCAUGUUGUCAAUCUCAUCAGAGGAUGUCACUGUGUCCAUCAUCACUAUUUGGGAGUGAGCAUCUCGAGUCUCCUAGACAGCUAGUGUGUUGCUCGGAAUGUUUCCGUCUAAUGUCAUGUUGGUUCAUCUGUGAGGCUGCAUAGCCGGGGUGAGUUGUGACAAGAAAUGUGCAAAACAAUUAAUUGUCAUUAUCAUGGGUGUCGAUCACGGGGGGGGGGGAUGGGGGGAUAUAUCCCCCCAAUAUUUCAAGUGGGGGGGAUGGCCUGUAUUAUCAUCCCCCCCAAUAAUUUAGGGUAGAAAAUUUAUAAUAAUGAUGAUUAAAAAAUGUAAAGGUUUGAUCAUGAUGAUUAUAGUGAUGAUUAUAGUAUGCCAUCAAUCAGUUUGUUUCCCUCGCAAUUUGUGUAUAUUGUUAUUAAAUAAAAACAUUCUUUUCCAGGACUUUUAAACAGAUGGGUGGAGGUUCAAGAUGAAAAAGAAUGAAAUGUUUACGUAUAUGAUAUUUUUUAACGCAUGACAUAAAAGGACCCCGACGAAAAACAACUUUUGUUGAUAGGGUGUUCCAUCCCACCAGUGGUAAUAUGAUCAUAUUUUUACAAUUUUUUAAUAAGUGAAAUCAAUUAAUGGUUUCAGAAAGAAUAAUCAUUCAUUUCUCUCUAAAGCGUAUCAUCGGAUAUGAACAUCGGAUUUUUUUCCAUGUUAUUCUUGUUAUUGUUAUGGACUUGAAUAACUAAACUUGAUUGGCUCUUUCUUAUUUUGGCAAAAAGAAAUCUCUUUUGAGUUUGGAAAGGGAUGACAGUUUUGCAUUCUAUAUGAGCACACUCAUGCGGUACGUAAAUUUCAUUUUAACACAUAUAUUAGCUGAUAUUACACACUGAUGGUUCAAGAAAAUGUUGGAGAAAUAUCAUAACAUGACAGUUGAGUUUUAAUUGUUUUUAUGUUUGUUUUUGUUUUAUGCACUUAUAAAGCAUUUAAGACAUGUUAAAAUCCAGGGUUAAAAUCGUCUAAGGAAUGACGGUAAGCCCGAUGGCGCACGAGAAGCCACACAGUUUGCAAUUUGUGCUAGUCUUAAUUUGUCCGAAUCUGCAUUUUAUCAUCAUGCAUUAAGAAGAAAAAAGAUAUCGCCAGUCGGGUUAGAUUUAAGAGAGAAGUUGUAUACAUUAUGUCCAAUAAACAGAUCACUUUGUACAUCAUG